UCUUCUGCAAGAGCAGCCA
rnacentral:piRNA from 1 species